GGGAGUGGGGGGCACGGGGGCCCGUGCUCAUCCUGCUGGAUGCUUCCUAUGUCCUGUUUUCUUGUGGGUCACAAAGAGGAUGUUUAAUUUUUAGCAAAGAAACUUGCUUCCUCCAGCAGGGCUCAAGGUUUGGGAGCCAGGAGUCAGGCUCUGAGUUCCCCAUGCCACUGGAGGUGUCAGUGUCACCACAACAAGACAGACUUGGCCACCCGUCCUCCAGAAGCCAGUGGAAGAGACACAUCAAUAGUGAAAAGCAGGAAAAGGAAAUGCAAUCUUCGUGGGCACACUGAGAAGAGGGGUAAAGAGAUUCAGCAACAACCUUUUACCAAGUGGCUCUUAGGACCUCAAGGCUGCAGACAUACUUACGAACGACCAUCUGUUCCUUCCAUAACAGGCUGUUCUCCACAGUCCGCUCCUACCCUCGGUUCGCAUUUCUUUGUGCCAAUAUAUGUAUUGUGCCUGAUAUUCAAUUUCAAGGUAAAUCCCUUCUGCUGAAGACAGCACACACUGUGGACUCAGGACUUGGAGGAACGGAGCCAGAACUGGCCUGGAAGCCUCGUCCCUGAGCACCAGAAGUACUCUUCAGAGUUCUGGAAGGUGCUGUCAGAUAGAGACCGUUAAUGCAGAUAUCAACUAACUGGCCGUGGUGUGCCCAUUCCCAGUCGAUACACACACAAUGCAACUUCGACAUCUAAAGCUUGGAGGGCUUUAUAAAGAGAGGUUUUAAAAGGUUGUCAGAAGAGGAUCAGAGCAUCAGCUGAGUGACUAUAUAGGACAAGGUAGCUACACCCAUACAAUCUCAACAGUGUAGGUGCCUAUGCAAGACCAUUAACAACAACAUUAGUUCACGUACUCGCAAGCGUGUGUGUGUGUGUGUGUGUGUGUGUGUGUGUGUGUAUCUCAAAAGGCUUCACUUUAAAUAAACUCAUAAUGUCUCUAGGCAGUUCAUGACUGCUCAAAGAGGGGAGAAUCAGUCUUGCCCAGGGAGGAGGUUUCCCAAUC